UGGGGAAUCUUGCACAAUGGAGGCAACUCUGAUGCAGCGACGCCGCGUGAGCGAUGAAGGCUUUCGAGUCGUAAAGCUCUGUCCUAUGGGAUGAUAAUGACAGUACCAUAGGAGGAAGCCCCGGCUAACUACGUGCCAGCAGCCGCGGUAAUACGUAGGGGGCGAGCGUUGUCCGGAAUUACUGGGCGUAAAGGGUUCGCAGGCGGUUUGGCAAGUCUGGUGUAAAAGGCAAGGGCUUAACCCUUGUAAGCAUUGGAAACUGUUAAACUUGAGUAAAGGAGAGGUAAGUGGAAUUCCUAGUGUAGCGGUGGAAUGCGUAGAUAUUAGGAGGAAUACCAGUGGCGAAGGCGACUUACUGGACUUUAACUGACGCUGAGGAACGAAAGCGUGGGGAGCAAACA
rnacentral:rRNA from 1 species